CGGGUGAUCAUCACUCCAACCUGCUGCCUAACCUUCACCCCGUGGUUGGACCUCUCGUUUCUACGGGCCGGUGUUCCCCUAGAACCAGUGUCCAGGCAUGUUGUUGUGUCAACAGAUGCUUCUGCCACGGGUUGGGGUGCCAUGUGCAACGGACAUGCUGCGUCAGGCUCCUGGACAGGACCCCGACUUCAGUGGCAUGUCAAUUGCCUCGAGUUGCUGGCAGUUUGGCUUGCUCUGCACCGCUUCAGGGCCCUGCUGAGGGACAAGCACGUACUGGACCGUACUGACAACACUGUGACCAUAGCGUACAUCAACCUUCAGGGCAGUCUACGCUCCCGUCGCAUGUCGCAACUCUCGUGCAGCCGACGAGCUUUCACGUCAGCAGUCUCGCCCCGGGGAAUGGAGACUCCACCCCCAGUCGGUUCAGCUGAUUUGGGAACGCUUCGGAGAUGCUCAGGUAGACCUGUAUGCCUCUCCAGAGAAUUCCCACUGCCAGUUGUUUUACAUCCUGACCAAGGGCACCCUUGGCACGGACGCGCUGGCAAACAGCUGGCCGCAGGGCCUGCGCAAGUAUGCGUUUCCCCCAGUGAGCCUUGUGCAAGAUCAGGGAGGACGAGGAGCAGGUCCUUACAGUUGCGCCUUAUUGGCCCAGGUGACCUGGUUCUCAGAACUUGUACUCCUCGCAACAGCCCCUCCCUGGCCAGGUCCUCUGAGGAAGGACCUUCUUUCUCAGAGACGGGGCACCCUCUGGCACCCGCGUCCCGACCUUUGGAACCUACAUGUGUGGGUUCUGGAUGGGUCACAGAAGGUUUAGGUACCUUGCCACCUCAGGUGGUAGCUACCAUCACUUCAGCUAGGGCCUUGUCUACCAGACAUGCCUAUGCUCUGAAGUGGAACCUCUUCGUUGCUUGGUGUUCUUCACGUCGUGAAGACCCCUGGAGAUGCCCGAUCGGGUCAGUGCUUUCCUUUCUUCAGGAAGGGUUGGAACGAAGGCUGUCUCCUUCCACCCUGAAGGUCUAUGGAGCCGCCAUUGCAGCCCAGCAUGACCCGGUUUACGGUGAGUCUCUUGGGAAGCAUGAUCUGGUCAUCAGGUUCCUGAGAGGGGCCAGGAGGCGCAAUCCAACUUGCCCUCAUCAAGUUCCCUCUUGGGACCUCGCAGUGGUUCUAUCUGCACUCCAGAGGGCUCCCUUCGAACCCUUGUUCUCAGUAGAGCUAAUGUUUUUAUCAUUGAAGACUGCGCUCCUGACAGCUUUGGCUUCAGUUAAGAGGGUCGGGGACCUGCAGGCAUUUUCAGUCGACGAAGCGUGCCUGGAAUUCAGGCUGGCCAAUUCUCACGUUAUCUUGAGACCCUGGCCUGGAUACGUGCCCAAAGUUCCCACCACUCCCUUUAGAGAUCAAGUAGUGAACUUCCAAGCACUGCCCCUGGAGGAGGCAGACCCAGCCCUGGUGCUGCUCUGUCCAGUACGUGCGCUCCGGACUUACGUAGACAGAACUCAGUGCCUUAGGACCUCAGACCAGCUCUUUGUUUGUUACGGAGGUCAGCAGAAGGGAAAGGCUGUCUCCAAGCAGACGUUAUCCCACUGGAUAGUGGAAGUUAUUGUCCUGGCUUAUCAGGCUCAAGACCUGCCAUGCCCCCUAGGGGUGAGGGCUCCCUCAACUAGGAGUGUAGCCUCCUCCUGGGGUUGCUCCUUAUAUA
ensembl:lncRNA